rnacentral:rRNA from 1 species
GAUGAACGCUGGCGGCGUGCCUAAUACAUGCGAGUCGAGCGAACAGACGAGGAGCUUGCUCCUCUGACGUUAGCGGCGGACGGGUGAGUAACACGUGGAUAACCUACCUAUAAGACUGGGAUAACUUCGGGAAACCGGAGCUAAUACCGGAUAAUAUAUUGAACCGCAUGGUUCAAUAGUGAAAGACGGUUUUGCUGUCACUUAUAGAUGGAUCCGCGCCGCAUUAGCUAGUUGGUAAGGUAACGGCUUACCAAGGCAACGAUGCGUAGCCGACCUGAGAGGGUGAUCGGCCACACUGGAACUGAGACACGGUCCAGACUCCUACGGGAGGCAGCGGUAGGGAAUCUUCCGCAAUGGGCGAAAGCCUGACGGAGCAACGCCGCGUGAGUGAUGAAGGUCUUCGGAUCGUAAAACUCUGUUAUUAGGGAAGAACAAAUGUGUAAGUAACUAUGCACGUCUUGACGGUACCUAAUCAGAAAGCCACGGCUAACUACGUG